UAAUGCCUAAAGGGAACACAUAUAUUUCCAACACUUGAUAUAUGGGAACCCGGACGUUUCAGUUUGGUGUUGAAAACUCUGAUUUAUCAGAGAAUCCUAAAAAUCUGAACAGGGUACCCACCUGGUUAUUGCCGGGAAUCAUAUCAACCCUUUAGGUCACAA
rnacentral:other from 1 species